AUGGCGGCGGCGGCGACGGCUGGCCGGAGACCAGCCUCGUCAACAACGGCAUCGGAGGCGGAAGCGAAGGACGCCGAGAACCUCCGUCUCAUCGAGGAGAUGACCUCCAACGUGGACUCCGUGCAAGAGCGGGUUCUGGCCGAGAUCCUCUCCCGGAACGCCGCCACGGAGUACCUCACGGACUGCGGCGGCCCCACCGACCGUGCCACCUUUCGGGCCAAGGUGCCGGUGGUGUCGUACGACGCUCUCAAGCCGUACAUCCAGCGCAUCGCCAACGGAGACCGGUCGCCCAUCAUGUCGACGCACCCCGUCUCCGAUUUCCUCACCAGCUCCGGCACCUCCGGCGGCGAGCGCAAGCUGAUUCCCAGCACCGCCGAGGAGGGCCGCCGACGCCAGCUUCCCUUCGGUCUCCUUAAGGCAGUCAUGAACUUGCACUUCCCAGGGCUUGACAAGGGGAAGGGGCUCUACUUUCUCUUGGUCAAGUCGGAGACCAAGACGCUGGGCGGGCUGACGGCGUGGCCGAUGAUGACCAGCAUUUACAAGAGCGAGCAGUUCAAGGACCCCUUGCGCGACCACACCAGCCCGAGGGCGGCCGUGCUCUGCGCCGACACGUCCCAGAGCAUGUACGCGCAGAUGGUGUGCGGCCUGUGCCAACGCCACGACGUGCUCCGCGUCGGCGCCGCCUUCGCCUCCGGCCUGCUGCGCGUCAUCCGCUUCCUCCAGCUCAACUGGGAGCAGCUCGCCGCCGACAUCGAGGCCGGCACGCUCGCCCCGUGCGUGGACGACGCGUCGGUGCGCGAGGCGGUCGCCGGCAUCCUCCGCCGCCCGGACCCGGAGCUGGCUCAGUUCGUCCGGGGCGAGUGCUGCAAGGGCGAAUGGGCCGGCAUCGUCCCGCGCAUCUGGCCCAACACGAGGUACAUCGAUGCCAUCGUCACCGGCGCCAUGGCGCAGUACGUCCCGGCCCUGGAAUACUACGGCGGCCGCCUGCCGUUGGUGUCCUCCUCCUACGCGUCCUCCGAGUGCUACUUCGGCAUCAACCUUCAGCCGCUGUGCAAGCCGGACGACGUCUCCUACACCAUCAUGCCCAACAUGGCCUACUUCGAGUUCCUCCCCGUGGACGACGCCACCACAGGCGAGGUCGUGGCACCUGAAGGUGACGCGGCCCGGCUGGUGGACCUCGCCCGCGUGGAGGCAGGGCGGGAGUACGAGGUGGUGAUCACCACCUACGCCGGGCUGAACCGGUACCGCGUCGGCGACGUGCUCCGCGUGGCGGGUUACCACAGCGCCGCUCCACGGUUCACGUUCGUGCGCCGCAAGAACGUGUUGCUCUCCGUCGAAUCCGACAAGACCGACGAGGUCGAGCUGCAGCGCGCCGUGGAGCGGGCCUCGGAGCUGCUCCGACCGCACGGCGCGUCCGUGGCAGAGUACACCAGCCACGCAUGCACCAAGCGCAUCCCGGGGCACUACGUCAUCUACUGGGAGCUGCUGACCACCGGCGACGAGGCGGUGGGCAAGGAGACCCUCGACGCGUGCUGCCUGCAGAUGGAGGAGGCCCUGAACGCGGUCUACAGGCAGAGCCGGGUGGCCGAUGGGUCGGUCGGGCCGCUCGAAAUCCGAGUCGUCCGGCCCGGCACCUUCGAGGAGCUCAUGGACGACGCCAUCUCUCGCGGCGCGUCCAUCAGCCAGUACAAGGUGCCCCGCUGCGUCGCGCUCCCGCCCGUCGUUGAGCUGCUCGACUCGUGCGUCGUGUCCGCCCACUUCAGCCCUAGCUUGCCACACUGGACCCCAGCUCGGCGCCACGACUAG
rnacentral:rRNA from 1 species